rnacentral:rRNA from 1 species
GACGAGGCACUACGGUGCUGAAGCAACAAAUGCCCUGCUUCCAGGAAAAGCCUCUAAGCAUCAGGUAACAUCAAAUCGUACCCCAAACCGACACAGGUGGUCAGGUAGAGAAUACCAAGGCGCUUGAGAGAACUCGGGUGAAGGAACUAGGCAAAAUGGUGCCGUAACUUCGGGAGAAGGCACACUGACACGUAGGUGAAGUGGUUUACCCAUGGAGCUGAAGUCAGUCGAAGAUACCAGCUGGCUGCAACUGUUUAUUAAAAACACAGCACUGUGCAAACACGAAAGUGGACGUAUACGGUGUGACGCCUGCCCGGUGCCGGAAGGUUAAUUGAUGGGGUCAGCGCAAGCGAAGCUCCUGAUCGAAGCCCCGGUAAACGGCGGCCGUAACUAUAACGGUCCUAAGGUAGCGAAAUUCCUUGUCGGGUAAGUUCCGACCUGCACGAAUGGCGUAAUGAUGGCCAGGCUGUCUCCACCCGGGACUCAGUGAAAUUGAACUCGCUGUGAAGAUGCAGUGUACCCGCGGCAAGACGGAAAGACCCCGUGAACCUUUACUAUAGCUUGACACUGAACACUGGUCCUUGAUGUGCAGGAUAGGUGGGAGGCUUUGAAGUGUGGACGCCAGUCUGCAUGGAGCCAUCCUUGAAAUACCACCCUUUAAUGGCUGGUGUUCUAACGUGGGCCCGUGAACCGGGUUGCGGACAGUGUCUGGUGGGUAGUUUGACUGGGGCGGUCUCCUCCUAAAGAGUAACGGAGGAGCACGAAGGUUGGCUAAUCCUGGUCGGACAUCAGGAGGUUAGUGCAAUGGCAUAAGCCAGCUUGACUGCGAGCGUGACGGCGCGAGCAGGUGCGAAAGCAGGUCAUAGUGAUCCGGUGGUUCUGAAUGGAAGGGCCAUCGCUCAACGGAUAAAAGGUACUCCGGGGAUAACAGGCUGAUACCGCCCAAGAGUUCAUAUCGACGGCGGUGUUUGGCACCUCGAUGUCGGCUCAUCACAUCCUGGGGCUGAAGUAGGUCCCAAGGGUAUGGCUGUUCGCCAUUUAAAGUGGUACGCGAGCUGGGUUUAGAACGUCGUGAGACAGUUCGGUCCCUAUCUGCCGUGGGCGCUGGAAGAUUGAGGGGGGCUGCUCCUAGUACGAGAGGACCGGAGUGGACGCAUCACUGGUGUUCGGGUUGUCAUGCCAAUGGCACUGCCCGGUAGCUACAUGCGGAAGAGAUAAGUGCUGAAAGCAUCUAAGCACGAAACUUGCCCCGAGAUGAAUCUUCCCUGAGCCUUUAAGGCUCCUGAAGGAACGUUGAAGACGACGACGUUGAUAGGCCGGGUGUGUAAGCGCAGCGAUGCGUUGAGCUAACCGGUACUAAUGAACCGUGAGGCUUAACCUUACAACGCCGAAG